CUUCUCUCUCUCUCUCUCUCUCUCUCGUUCUCUCUUUCUGUCUCUCUCUCCCCCACUCUAUUCUCGUUCACAAUACAAGCCCCCCUCAUCCCCGCCAGACACACUGACAGACGGCUUUGGUAACAGCGUCAGCAGCGCCCUCCACCGGUUAUGAGGGGAACUGCGGCGGGGACCGUGAGAAACGACAGCAGACGUCUGCAGCAGCGUUGUGACUGGUCAGGACAUUAAAACACUACCGGGCUACAUUGGUUGACGGUCUGGGCUACUUAUUACAUUGCCCUGUCACAUAAUCUGACCUUUCACCUUUCAUUGCAGCACUGGAACAUACGGCAUUGUGUUUCUCAAUUUAAAAAAUGUAGUGUUCACAUAGAUGCCGAAUGUGUUUAAAACUGUCUAAAUUCACCGUGUAAACGGCUUCGACCUUGACUUUUACACAAACGUUUAUAAUCUGGUCAAACUAGCUCAGCUGUAAUCUGACAAGCCAAAGUUUACAAGCUGAUUAGCUAAUUAGCUGUUAGCCUGCAGACCGAGAUUAGCAGCUACCUUUCCUCCCGGCGGACGUGCGCUCGAUCUCUCCCUCAGCAAAUUAAAGCGUGACGGUGAGUCAAUUCCCAGCUCUGAUUUGAGGACAAAGACAAAGGCCGCAGCUCAAAACUACACCUUUACACUGGGCUUCAGGUGCCUUCUGGUGCGAGGUUUAAUUCCACACGUUCCACAUGUUUUAUUAUCUAAGACUGACUGGACCCGGGUUCACCUCCCGACCGGAGCGUUGAGUUCAGAGCUUCGUGCAUCGAGCCAUUUGCAGCUUAUCCUCCACUGCUCUAAUGACCUGACAUCUCUGCAGGGAUCAUUAAAGUUUCAUCUGACCUCAUCUAAAAACUGAAGCCCCCUUAAGCAAGGCACUUGUCUGCUCCAGUGGAGCAGCUCGGUUUCCAUCAGUAGGAAACGUAGCGUAUUGCAUGGGAAGUUGCUGUGUGUGUGUGUGUGUGUGUGUGUGUGUGUGUGUGUGUGUGUGUGUGUGUGUGUGUGUGUGUGUGUGUGUGUGUUUUAUGAUGAGAUAAAGCAGUGUUCUGAUAAUUUACAGUAUUGGUAGCUGUACGUCAGUGUGGUCAAGAAACAAACAAACAAAAAAAAAAAAAAAAAGAAACAUGAAAAGGUUCAUAUAUUUUUAUCGAUACUUGAUAAUUACUUUGGUUUAUAUUUUUAUACUAUAUAAACCAAAAUGUGAGGUGUGUGGAUGUAGAAAAGGGAAGAUUGGCCUUUUCACAGUCAGGUGUCUGAAUCCAGCAACAAACACUACAAAGACCACUGUAUACUCAGACCAGAGAAUAAUUUUGUUUUUCUUUAGGUCUUUAGGUUCCAGCUUUUUUCCCUGCGUGUCUCCAUUAGUCGCUGUCAUCUGUCAGAGACUGAAAAGCUAAUGUUAGUUCAACACUGCAGGAUAAAGCUGCACAUUUUGAUGCAAAGUGAUCCCUUUAAUAAUGAACAAUUAUAAGGUUACGCAAUUACACCAGUCACUUUAAUAAGUGCUGUCACUUUGGCUCAUUCGUGUGCACGUAAUGCUGAUUAUUGACGACCUGUAGAGAUGACACUGUUUCUCUCUUUCUUUCAACAAUUGUGUAUUUAUUAUCUUCUGUAUUAUCUGUCUUUUUUGUGCUGUUGCAACAUAUCAAUUUCUCAAUCACAGUACAGAUAAAGGUUUUCCAUUCAAUUCUAAAACAGUUCAGUCAUUUUUAAACUACAAAGGCUGGAUCAUUGGUAAAUGUAGGCAAAAGAAAUAAAGAAUUCACCAAAAUGUUAAUAACCAUGAUGCGUCUGGUGUUAUGGCCCAGUCCGUGUUUGUGUGUUUCUGCAUUUGUGCGUUUGUGUGUUUGUGUGUUUGUGUUUCUGCGUUUGCUUGUGCAUUUGUGUGUUUGUGCGUUUCUGCAUUUGUGUGUUUGUGUGUGCAGAGGUGUGCUGGGGGUGUGUGUUUGCAGGUCAGCUGGAGGCUCGGUGAUUGGUGGAGAAGGAGCCGAGGCUGGGCCCCGUUGGCUGCAUCGAAGAGGCGCCAGCAUCAACGGCCUGUCACUGUCAUUCUCCAGGGCGACUCUGAAGAGCAGAAAUAGACAAAGCGUUGUUAUUACAGAUUGUGUGUUUUGUGUAACAAUUACGAGUUGUGAUGAGGCAGGGGUGAGCUGCCUUUACUGUAUCUUUUCUAGUUAAAUGUCUUUUGUUUUUCUUUCAGUUGGGUUUCAAUAAUUGACAGCAGCCUUGUAAUGAGAUCCUCCCCUCACGCGGCUCUGAAGCUGCAGGACAUGUAGAAUUAUCUAAACUACUGCAACCUCUGAAACCAAAGCUAGAAUGACCUAAGUCUUACACAGCACCUUGGAAAGGUCUGCAGAGUGGUGCUGGGAAUGGAGUGGGCCGUCCGUGCUCCUGGACCCGGCCGGAACAUCUGGGUACUGAGUCCCUUACGAGGAGAGAGAGAGUGAAUGUGUCUGGGCAAUAAAUCAGACAGAAUCUUUC